rnacentral:lncRNA from 1 species
UUACAGCUGAGAGAGGAACCAGACGGAUCUCUGGCCCGGAUGAGGAGGUGUCGGCCAGACAAGCUGAACUGAAGGCUGGCUUGAACCAUGCUCUGCUGUCUCCUUGCCCUUCUGGGCAAUUUUCUUAGCCACUCCUACUGUCCCAGACCGUUCAGGUCUUGAGGAGCGUAGCCAGCGAAACCAAACUGGAUCAGCCCCGCUGGGAAGGCGGUUUCAUCAUCACCUCAUUUUACGUAAGCGUCUUUGUUUCUGAGGUCACCCUCUCUCCCGGCCCCUUCACUGAAAGUGACUCAUAAAGUAGACAAAGUAGCUCUCUAUCUGGGGAGAAGUCUGUUAGUUAGAAAAUAAGAUUCUUCUCCCUGUCUUUACCCACAAAAAUUGGUAAAAUUACAAAGAUUGUUGGGUUGGGUGGUGGUAAGUGUAAUUUAGGGCUCAGAUCUUGCCUGACAGUGAUCCAAUUCAACGAGGGAAAGUCCAAGCAAAAGAUUAAAGUUUCAUGAGGUAUCAGGCCUGAUUUGGGAGUCCUUGACAGAGACAUAAAGGUUGAAAUGUUU